UGGGGAAUAUUGGACAAUGGGGGCAACCCUGAUCCAGCAAUGCCGCGUGUGUGAAGAAGGCCUGCGGGUUGUAAAGCACUUUUGGCAGGGAUGAAAAGCACUGGAUUAAUAACCUAGUGUGUUGACCUAACCUGCAGAAGAAGCACCGGCUAACUCUGUGCCAGCAGCCGCGGUAAUACAGAGGGUGCGAGCGUUAAUCGGAAUUACUGGGCGUAAAGGGCGCGUAGGCGGUCGAGUAAGUCGGAUGUGAAAUCCCCGGGCUUAACCUGGGAAUUGCAUUCGAUACUGCUUGGCUAGAGUGUGGAAGAGGGAAGCGGGAAUUUCCGGUGUAGCGGUGAAAUGCGUAGAUAUCGGAAGGACACCAGUGGCGAAGGCGGCUUCCUGGUCCAACACUGACGCUGAGGCGCGAAAGCGUGGGGAGCAAACAGGAUUAGAUACCCGAGUAGUCCCUGAGCGGGCUGGCAAGGCGCAU
rnacentral:rRNA from 1 species